rnacentral:piRNA from 1 species
UGAAAAGUCUGACUCAAGGAAAAGUCUUA